rnacentral:tRNA from 1 species
UAGGCAGAAGCCUGUUGGUUUGGGGCAUAUAGCUGUUAACUAUAGUUUUAUGGGAUCGAAGCCCAUCUGCCUAG